rnacentral:rRNA from 1 species
CCUACGGGGGGCAGCAGUGGGGAAUAUUGCACAAUGGGGGAAACCCUGAUGCAGCGACGCCGCGUGAGUGAAGAAGUAAUUCGUUAUGUAAAGCUCUAUCAGCAGGGAAGAAAAUGACGGUACCUGAGUCAGAAGCCCCGGCUAACUACGUGCCAGCAGCCGCGGUAAUACGUAGGGGGCCAGCGUUAUCCGGAUUUACUGGGUGUAAAGGGAGCGUAGACGGCAGUGCAAGUCUGGAGUGAAAGGCGGGGGGUCAACCCCCGGACUGCUCUGGAAACUGGACGGCUGGAGUGCAGGAGAGGUAAGUGGAAUGCGGGGUGUAGCGGUGAAAUGCGUAGAUAUUAGGAGGAACACCAGUGGCGAAGGCGGCUUACUGGAUUGUAACUGACGUUGAGGCUCGAAAGCGUGGGGAGCAAACAGGAUUAGAUACCCCGGUAGUC